rnacentral:rRNA from 1 species
GACGAACGCUGGCGGCGUGCUUAACAUAUGCAAGUCGAACGGAAAGGCCCUGCUUUUGUGGGGUGCUCGAGUGGCGAACGGGUGAGUAACACGUGAGUAACCUGCCCUUGACUUUGGGAUAACUUCAGGAAACUGGGGCUAAUACCGGAUAGGAGCUCCUGCUGCAUGGUGGGGGUUGGAAAGUUUCGGCGGUUGGGGAUGGACUCGCGGCUUAUCAGCUUGUUGGUGGGGUAGUGGCUUACCAAGGCUUUGACGGGUAGCCGGCCUGAGAGGGUGACCGGCCACAUUGGGACUCAGAUACGGCCCAGACUCCUACGGGAGGCAGCAGUGGGGAAUAUUGCACAAUGGGCGGAAGCCUGAUGCAGCAACGCCGCGUGCGGGAUGACGGCCUUCGGGUUGUAAACCGCUUUCGCCUGUGACGAAGCGUGAGUGACGGUAAUGGGUAAAGAAGCACCAGCUAACUACGU